UACGAAGGGGGCUAGCGUUGUUCGGAAUUACUGGGCGUAAAGCGUGCGCAGGCGGCUUCUCAAGUCAGGGGUGAAGGCCCAGAGCUUAACUCUGGAAUUGCCUUUGAGACUGAGAGGCUUGAGUACGGGAGAGGUGAGUGGAAUUCCCAGUGUAGAGGUGAAAUUCGUAGAUAUUGGGAAGAACACCGGUGGCGAAGGCGGCUCACUGGCCCGUAACUGACGCUCAUGCACGACAGCGUGGGGAUCAAACAGG
rnacentral:rRNA from 1 species